rnacentral:rRNA from 1 species
GUCUAUGGCCACGCCACCCUGAACAAGCCCAAUCUCGUCUGAUCUCGGAAGCUAAGCAGGGUCAGGCUUGGUUAGUACUUGGAUAGGAGACCACCUAGGAAAACCAGGUGCUGUAGGCA